GAUGAACGCUAGCGGCAGGCCUAAUACAUGCAAGUCGAACGAGAUUACGAGGCUUGCUUCUUAUGAAAGUGGCGCACGGGUGCGUAACGCGUAUGCAACCUACCUUAAUCAGGGGGAUAGCCCGAAGAAAUUCGGAUUAAGACCGCAUAAAAACACAGGAUAGCAUUAUCCAAUGUUCAAAUAUUUAUAGGAUUAAGAUGGGCAUGCGUGUCAUUAGCUAGUUGGCGGGGUAACGGCCCACCAAGGCGACGAUGACUAGGGGAUCUGAGAGGAUGACCCCCCAGAAUGGUACUGAGACACGGACCAGACUCCUACGGGAGGCAGCAGUAAGGAAUAUUGGUCAAUGGAGGGAACUCUGAACCAGCCAUGCCGCGUGCAGGAAGACAGCCCUCUGGGUCGUAAACUGCUUUUAUUCGGGAAUAAACCUUUCUACGUGUAGGAAGCUGAAUGUACCGAAGGAAUAAGGAUCGGCUAACUCCGUG
rnacentral:rRNA from 1 species